AUAUUAAACGUGGGAACUAAACAAGAUUAACUGUUCUCAUCAGUUUAACUAAUAUCUGAUGUGUGGGCCAUAUGCUCACUUCGAUAUUAAAUUUAUUAUUUGUGGGGGAGGGCUUCGAUAUUAAAUUUAUUAUUUGUGGGGGAGGGCUCAUCACAGUGGCAAGCCCUUGCCACUGGGGCCCUCGCGCGUCGCUCAGGCGUUGCACUGCUGCCCGGGCCUGGCGCACCCAAC
rnacentral:snRNA from 1 species